rnacentral:lncRNA from 1 species
AUCACAAAUUCACAAUACUAUUUAAAUUUUAAUCAAUCAUCCUCUCUUGCCUCCACUUUCUUCUAGGGAAAGUUCAGAAGAAUGAACAAAAAAUUCAAUCUAAAGUUGUUGUGAAGGAAAUGAGUAACAUAUUACAAUGAUACAAAUGAGACAAACUAAUGAUACAAAUGAGUAAUCUUUGACAUGUCAGUAUGUCACCAUCAACAGAUAUAAACUCCAAAUGCAUACUUACAAUCCCAUCUGCUAGUGAAAAAAUGGCUUGACAUCCUGUGCACAAAGAUUAUAAACCCUUAAAAUUUCAUGAUUAUCUCAUAAACAUCAUUAGCAACAAGAGGGGCCUUUUGCUCUCAUCUCUUGCUGACAUGGUUGUACAUGUCUUUGAUCCUGCAGCAACCAAACAAAUUAAAAAAAAAAGCUAAUUCCUUUAUGAUAAAUUAUAAUUCAAAAAAAUUAAUCUGUUUUAUGAUUGUCUAAUAUACUCACGUCUCUGAAAAUGAUUUUUUUGUGUUCUUGUGCAAAUUUGAAACAACAAUUCUUGUAGCCAACUGUACCAAACAAACAAUUUACCAAAGAAACAAUCAAAACAAAGCCCAAUUAUCAAACUAUAAAAUUAAGCAUAACAUUAUGAUACAUAAUACGGUGGUCUCAUAAUAGACAAAACAAACAAGUAAAACUUGAACCCCCAACUUCAAUUGAUCACUCCAACAUAUAUAAUUAACUGUUCAAUGAUCAAACCCAUAACUAGACCUCUAUAGUAGUCACACAUACAGAUAUAUACAUAUUAACAUAUAUGUCUACAUACAACAAGCCCAGAACCAAAUUCAAUGAAAAAAAACAAAAAUGAUUAAGUUAAUAUAUAGUUUAUAGACAUAAAUGUACAUAUUUGAAAGAACAACUCACACACACGAGCAAAACCCAGAACCAAAAUCAACAAAACCAUAAUAAUCAAGCCAACUUACGAACCGGAUCACAGUGCUCGCUGCUUAGCCCAUAACUCAUCUUCUUCAAACGAGCAGUAAUCUUGUCGAAAUGAACUGCUUCUUGACGCCCAUCUCUCUUAACCACAUACAUCCUAUCGCUCGAAUAAAAGAUCUAUAAAGGUAGUAGUGUCGGUAAAUUGUAGAUCUAGUCUAAUCUGGUUCAUAAACCCUUAAAAUUUCACACCCAAUUACCAAUUAAAAUCCACAAAAAUCGGUCAUACUCAUACCAAUUAAAACCCUUAAAAUCCACAAAGACAUACAGACUAAAGUCAUAGACUCAUACUCAUACAGAUAAUUGAUAAAUUACCAAUUCAAACAAAAAUCGGUCAGCUUAUGCGAUGAUUACAGAAAAAUACCUGAGACAAGGAGAAUAGAGUAGGAAGUACCGAAGUAGGAACUGCCGAACUGUGAAGGCAAGCUUAUGUGUCGUCGCGUCUAGGUGGGGCUGUGAACUGUGAAGGCAAGAAAGACGAGGAGAAUGGAUUUGUCAUUUGUGGAUCGAAGAGUCUAGAGGUGUGAAGUGUGAAGGGCCGAAUCUGUCUCUGUUUUUACUUUUUAUGCCUUAGCGGCUUAGCCAGUUAGCAAAGGUUAAGG